rnacentral:rRNA from 1 species
GACGAACGCUGGCGGCGUGCCUAAUACAUGCAAGUAGAACGCACAGUUUAUACCGUAGCUUGCUACACCAUAGACUGUGAGUUGCGAACGGGUGAGUAACGCGUAGGUAACCUGCCUGGUAGCGGGGGAUAACUAUUGGAAACGAUAGCUAAUACCGCAUAAUAUUGAUUAUUGCAUGAUAAUUGAUUGAAAGAUGCUAUUGCAUCACUACCAGAUGGACCUGCGUUGUAUUAGCUAGUAGGUGAGGUAACGGCUCACCUAGGCGACGAUACAUAGCCGACCUGGGAGGGUGGUCGGCCACACUGGGACUGAGACACGGCCCAGACUCCUACGGGAGGCAGCAGUAGGGAAUCUUCGGCAAUGGACGAAAGUCUGACCGAGCAACGCCGCGUGAGUGAAGAAGGGUUUCGGAUCGUAAAGCUCUGUUGUAAGAGAAGAACGGGUGUGAGAGUGGAAAGUUCACACUGUGACGGUAUCUGACCAGAAAGGGACGGCUAACUACGUG